rnacentral:rRNA from 1 species
GAAACCUGGUUGAUCCUGCCAGUAGCAUACGCUUGUCUCAAAGAUUAAGCCAUGCAUGUCUAAGUAUAAACAAAUCUAUACUGUGAAACUGCGAAUGGCUCAUUAUAUCAGUUAUAGUUUAUUUGAUGGUUUUUGCUACUUGGAUAACCGUAGUAAUUCUAGAGCUAAUACAUGCAUAAAACUCUAACUGGUAA